UCAAAACUUUAUAUUCAAAUUAAAUGAUAUUAAAUUGCAAAUUUAAAGGUAUUAGAUAUUAAUUAAGGUUU
rnacentral:tRNA from 1 species